UACGAAGGGUGCAAGCGUUAGUCGGAAUUACGGGGCGUAAAGCGUGCGUAGGCGGUUUUCUAAGGCUGCCGUGAAAGCCCCGGGCUCAACCUGGGAAUGGCGGUGGAUACUGGAAAGCUGGAGUGCGGUAGAGGAGGGUGGAAUUCCCGGUGUAGCGGUGAAAUGCGUAGAGAUCGGGAGGAACAUCAGUGGCGAAGGCGGCCCUCUGGACCAGCACUGACGCUGAGGCACGAAAGCGUGGGGAGCAAACAGG
rnacentral:rRNA from 1 species